AACGAACGCUGGCGGCAGGCCUAACACAUGCAAGUCGAACGAACCCUUCGGGGUGAGUGGCGCACGGGUGCGUAACACGUGGGAAUAUACACAUAGGUAAGGAAUAACUCAGGGAAACUUGCGCUAAUACCUUAUAAUAACUCCGGUUCAAAGAUUUAUCGCCUAUGGAUUAGCCCGCGCUAGAUUAGUUUGUUGGUGAGGUAAGAGCUCACCAAGACUACGAUCUAUAGCUGGUCUUAGAGGAUGAUCAGCCACACUGGAACUGAGACACGGUCCAGACUCCUACGGGAGGCAGCAGUGAGGAAUAUUGCGCAAUGGAGGAAACUCUGACGCAGCCAUGCCGCGUGAAUGAAGAAGGCCUUAGGGUUGUAAAAUUCUUUCAGAUGCGAAGAUAAUGACGGUACCAUCAGAAGAAGCUCCGGCUAAAUUCGUGCCAGCAGCCGCGGUAAAGUCAGUG
rnacentral:rRNA from 1 species